GCUGGCGGCAUGCUUAACACAUGCAAGUCGCACGAAGGUUUCGGCCUUAGUGGCGGACGGGUGAGUAACGCGUAGGAAUCUAUCCAUGGGUGGGGGAUAACUCUGGGAAACUGGAGCUAAUACCGCAUGACACCUUAGGGUCAAAGGCGCAAGUCGCCUGUGGAGGAGCCUGCGUUUGAUUAGCUUGUUGGUGGGGUAAUGGCCUACCAAGGCGAUGAUCAAUAGCUGGUCUGAGAGGAUGAUCAGCCACACUGGGACUGAGACACGGCCCAGACUCCUACGGGAGGCAGCAGUGGGGAAUAUUGGACAAUGGGGGCAACCCUGAUCCAGCAAUGCCGCGUGUGUGAAGAAGGUUUUCGGAUUGUAAAGCACUUUCGGCGGGGACGAUGAUGACGGUACCCGCAGAAGAAGCCCCGGCUAACUUCGUGCCAGCAGCCGCGGUAAUACGAAGGGGGCUAGCGUUGCUCGGAAUGACUGGGCGUAAAGGGCGUGUAGGCGGUUUGUACAGUCAGAUGUGAAAUCCCCGGGCUUAACCUGGGAGCUGCAUUUGAUACGUGCAGACUAGAGUGUGAGAGAGGGUUGUGGAAUUCCCAGU
rnacentral:rRNA from 1 species